rnacentral:rRNA from 1 species
UACGUAGGGUGCGAGCGUUGUCCGGAAUUAUUGGGCGUAAAGAGCUCGUAGGCGGUGUGUCACGUCGAUCGUGAAAACUUACAGCUUAACUGUGAGCGUGCGGUCGAUACGGGCAUCACUGGAGUUCGGCAGGGGAGACUGGAAUUCCUGGUGUAGCGGUGAAAUGCGCAGAUAUCAGGAGGAACACCGGUGGCGAAGGCGGGUCUCUGGGUAGUAACUGACGCUGAGGAACGAAAGCGUGGGUAGCGAACAGG